rnacentral:sRNA from 1 species
GCGGAGGAAAAGAAACCAACAGGGAUUGCCCUAGUAACGGCGAGUGAAGCGGCAACAGCUCAAAUUUGAAAUCUGGCGUCUUUGGCGUCCGAGUUGUAAUUUGCAGAGGGCGCUUUGGCAUUGGCAGCGGUCCAAGUUCCUUGGAACAGGACGUCACAGAGGGUGAGAAUCCCGUACGUGGUCGCUAGCCUUUACCGUGUAAAGCCCCUUCGACGAGUCGAGUUGUUUGGGAAUGCAGCUCUAAAUGGGAGGUAAAUUUCUUCUAAAGCUAAAUACUGGCCAGAGACCGAUAGCGCACAAGUAGAGUGAUCGAAAGAUGAAAAGCACUUUGGAAAGAGAGUUAAAAAGCACGUGAAAUUGUUGAAAGGGAAGCGCUUGCAGCCAGACUUGCCUGUAGUUGCUCAUCCGGGUUUUUACCCGGUGCACUCUUCUACGGGCAGGCCAGCAUCAGUUUGGGCGGUUGGAUAAAGGUCUCUGUCAUGUACCUCCUCUCGGGGAGAACUUAUAGGGGAGACGACAUGCAACCAGCCCGGACUGAGGUCCGCGCAUCUGCUAGGAUGCUGGCGUAAUGGCUGUAAGCGGCCCGUCUUGAAACACGGACCAAGGAGUCUAACAUCUAUGCGAGUGUUUGGGUGUCAAGCCCGAGCGCGUAAUGAAAGUGAACGGAGGUGGGAACCUUUCGGGGUGCACCAUCGACCGAUCCUGAUGUCUUCGGAUGGAUUUGAGUAAGAGCAUAGCUGUUGGGACCCGAAAGAUGGUGAACUAUGCUUGAAUAGGGUGAAGCCAGAGGAAACUCUGGUGGAGGCUCGCAGCGGUUCUGACGUGCAAAUCGAUCGUCAAAUUUGGGCAUAGGGGCGAAAGACUAAUCGAACUAUCUAGUAGCUGGUUCCUGCCGA